AUUGAACGCUGGCGGCAUGCCUUACACAUGCAAGUCGAACGGUAGAUGGGGCAACCUCUCGAGAGUGGCGAACGGGUGAGUAAAGCAUCGGAACGUGCCCAGCAGUGGGGGAUAGCACGGCGAAAGCCGGUUUAAUACCGCAUGAGACCUACGGGUGUAAGGGGGGGAUCGCAAGACCUCUCGUUAUUGGAGCGGCCGAUGUCAGAUUAGGUAGUUGGUGGGGUAAAGGCCUAACAAGCCGACGAUCUGUAGCUGGUCUGAGAGGACGACCAGCCAGACUGGGACGGAGACACGGCCCAGAGUGCUGGGGGAAGCGGCAGUGGGGCAUUGUGGAGCAUGGGCGAAAGCCUGAUCAAGACAUGCCGCGUGCGGGAAGAAGGCCUUCGGGUUGUAAGCCGCAUUUGUCAGGGAAGAAAACCUUUGAGUUAAUACCUCGGGGGGAUGACGGUACCUGAAGAAUAAGCACCGGCUAAAUACGUGCCAGCAGCCGCCGUAA
rnacentral:rRNA from 1 species